rnacentral:rRNA from 1 species
UUCAGGAUGAACGCUAGCUACAGGCUUAACACAUGCAAGUCUAGGGGCAGCAUGGUCUUAGCUUGCUAAGGCCGAUGGCGACCGGCGCACGGGUGAGUAACACGUAUCCAACCUGCCGUCUACUCUUGGACAGCCUUCUGAAAGGAAGAUUAAUACAAGAUGGCAUCAUGAGUCCGCAUGUUCACAUGAUUAAAGGUAUUCCGGUAGACGAUGGGGAUGCGUUCCAUUAGAUAGUAGGCGGGGUAACGGCCCACCUAGUCUUCGAUGGAUAGGGGUUCUGAGAGGAAGGUCCCCCACAUUGGAACUGAGACACGGUCCAAACUCCUACGGGAGGCAGCAGUGAGGAAUAUUGGUCAAUGGGCGAGAGCCUGAACCAGCCAAGUAGCGUGAAGGAUGACUGCCCUAUGGGUUGUAAACUUCUUUUAUAAAGGAAUAAAGUCGGGUAUGGAUACCCGUUUGCAUGUACUUUAUGAAUAAGGAUCGGCUAACUCCGUGCCAGCAGCCGCGGUAAUACGGAGGAUCCGAGCGUUAUCCGGAUUUAUUGGGUUUAAAGGGAGCGUAGAUGGAUGUUUAAGUCAGUUGUGAAAGUUUGCGGCUCAACCGUAAAAUUGCAGUUGAUACUGGAUAUCUUGAGUGCAGUUGAGGCAGGCGGAAUUCGUGGUGUAGCGGUGAAAUGCUUAGAUAUCACGAAGAACUCCGAUUGCGAAGGCAGCCUGCUAAGCUGCAACUGACAUUGAGGCUCGAAAGUGUGGGUAUCAAACAGGAUUAGAUACCCUGGUAGUCCACACGGUAAACGAUGAAUACUCGCUGUUUGCGAUAUACUGCAAGCGGCCAAGCGAAAGCGUUAAGUAUUCCACCUGGGGAGUACGCCGGCAACGGUGAAACUCAAAGGAAUUGACGGGGGCCCGCACAAGCGGAGGAACAUGUGGUUUAAUUCGAUGAUACGCGAGGAACCUUACCCGGGCUUAAAUUGCAGAUGAAUUACGGUGAAAGCCGUAAGCCGCAAGGCAUCUGUGAAGGUGCUGCAUGGUUGUCGUCAGCUCGUGCCGUGAGGUGUCGGCUUAAGUGCCAUAACGAGCGCAACCCUUGUUGUCAGUUACUAACAGGUUCCGCUGAGGACUCUGACAAGACUGCCAUCGUAAGAUGUGAGGAAGGUGGGGAUGACGUCAAAUCAGCACGGCCCUUACGUCCGGGGCUACACACGUGUUACAAUGGGGGGUACAGAGGGCCGCUACCACGCGAGUGGAUGCCAAUCCCCAAAACCUCUCUCAGUUCGGACUGGAGUCUGCAACCCGACUCCACGAAGCUGGAUUCGCUAGUAAUCGCGCAUCAGCCACGGCGCGGUGAAUACGUUCCCGGGCCUUGUACACACCGCCCGUCAAGCCAUGGGAGCCGGGGGUACAAGAAGUGCGUAACCGCGAGGAGCGCCCUAGGG